GACGAACGCUGGCGGUGUGCUUAACACAUGCAAGUCGAACGGUAAGGCCCUUUCGGGGGUACACGAGUGGCGAACGGGUGAGUAACACGUGAGUAACCUGCCCUCAUCUCUGGGAUAACGGUCGGAAACGGUUGCUAAUACUGGAUAUGAGCUUGCAAGGCAUCUUGUGGGUUGGAAAGAUUUUUUUGGUUGGGGAUGGACUCGCGGCCUAUCAGCUCGUUGGUGAGGUAGUGGCUCACCAAGGCUUCGACGGGUAGCCGGCCUGAGAGGGCGACCGGCCACAUUGGGACUGAGAUACGGCCCAAACUCCUACGGGAGGCAGCAGUGGGGAAUAUUGCACAAUGGACGGAAGUCUGAUGCAGCAACGCCGCGUGCGGGAUGACGGCCUUCGGGUUGUAAACCGCUUUCAAUUGUGACGAAGCUUUUUGUGACGGUAGCAGUAGAAGAAGCACCGGCUAACUACGUG
rnacentral:rRNA from 1 species